rnacentral:tRNA from 1 species
GGGGUUGUGGCUCAGCAGUACAGUGCAUGCUUAGCAUGUGUGAGGCCCUGGGUUCGAUUCUCAGCACCACA